rnacentral:lncRNA from 1 species
UACGGUGAUGGCCUCGACAUGCUUCUCUGCCAAAUCUCUCUUUGUUUUAGAACCUUGUUAAUUCUUGAACAUUAUAUUGCCUAAUUACACACAACACGCCUAAACAACCAGCCAAAUAGCACAUAAAUCUAUUCCAUAAGCAGCUAAAUAACACAAAAACACCUAAACCAACCAAUCUAAGAUACACCAAAAACAAGAACCCAACACAAACAGAACAUCAUAGAUACAAAAUUGGGAGAAAAAUUGCACCCAAUAUAAUAUUAGUUGAAAAAGUCAUAGUUAAAUAGCCAGGCAACAAAAACAAUGUCUUCUAACUUGAAUCAAUUUUGCAAAUUAAAUUUUCUCAGACAUCUAAAAUGUAAGCAUACCUUAAUAACGACGGUUUGAGUUGUGACAGCACAACGCGAACGUUGUGACGAGCACGGUGACAAACGAGUAUGAAUUGUGAAAGAUUAAUUGAUGCGUAUAUGGUGGAGAGAAGAUAAUUUAUGGGUUAUGGGUUACGGAUUCGAUUGCAGAAUUCGAUUGCAGGAAGAUGAGUUCGAUUCUUAGGGUUUGAAGGAAUUCGAUUGAAGAAGAUGAUUUUGUUACCUUUGGAUAUUAGAGUUUAUAGAUGAGAUCGUGUGCUCAAGAUUUUUGUGGAAGAACUGAUUUNNN